GUGUCAGCAGCCGCGGUAAUACAUGUGGGGCAAGCGUUGUUCGGAAUUACUGGGCAUAAAGGGUGCGUAGGCGGUUUGUUAAGUCACAGGUGAAAGUUUUCGGCCCAACCGGAAAAUUGCCUGCGAUACUGGCGAACUUGAGUGCGUGAGGGGUUGGGGGAACGAGCAGUGUAGCGGUGAAAUGCGUAGAUAUUGCUCGGAAGGCCGGAGCCGAAGGGGCCCAACUGGUGCGCAACUGACGCUGAUGCACGAAAGCGUGGGGAGCAAACAGGAUUAGAUACCCGCGUAGUCC
rnacentral:rRNA from 1 species